ACAUCGAGUUCAUUUGAAAACAAAACAAGUCCAACCUUCAACGGGUAUCAUUUGCUGUGUACCUUUGAAGUUAAUGAACUACGAUGUUUAUGUUCAGGCUGCUAAGUUCGCUCAGUGUUUUGUGUUUAGUGACGUCAUACCCCCUCAUCAGUUGGUUUGCGGCAAAUAAAAUCGUAAAUGCUCAGUUUGAUAUAUCAGAAGACUGCUUAUCCAAAGUAAAAGAUGGCGAUUGUAGUUUCUUCGAAUGUUUUGAGAAAAGAUUGCCUUGUGGAGAGGACGGAUACGCACUGAGUUACGGCAAAAAAUACUGCAACAAAUUAAAAGCGAAUAGUCAUCUAUUUACCUCACAGGGUCAAGAAUUUAUAAGGAAAAUGGCGAUUUGCCAGAUAGAACGAUCACUAUCGGCCUAUAACAGUAGCUUUCUGGAUUGUAAUCAACACUAUGCAAACAGUUUUCGAAAUAUGGGGCUAUGUUUUGUACCAAGUGGAUUCUGUCACAUCGUUAUACCAAACCUAGUAGCCGUGGCAUCGUCUCUUGACCCCUCUGAUUUUGUAAAUUACAGACUUGUGACAGAAGUUUUUGCUGCCGGAAGGAAUUGUCCAGUUGAUUUAACUUCAGACAUAGUCAGAGAAUACACGAAUUAUAAACGAAAAUAAUACCAUUGGACGCAUUAACAUACAAAGACGGAUACGCAAUAUGAACUCAAGUGAAAUACGUGAAAAUAGUCCCAUUUUGUUCUUUUAUUUAGUGGAUAGCAUUGUUUUGUU